AUGAUAAUCGCGAAUAGUUAUUUAUUACAUAAUCCAGAUAUUAUCAUGUUAACAAUUCUGUGGUUGGAUAUUUUUUUAAUCGCUUUAUAAAUGCGAAAAAAAAUUAUUUAAGAUCAGAAAAUCCCUUGAAAUGGGAUUCAAAACGAUGGCUUAAGCCACAGUUGGCCAGCAAACAAGUUCCCCGCAUUCAAGCGUGGGAAAAGAAAACCCUUUGGUCGACCUCGUGAUAUUUUGAAAGUCAACAAGGGGCGCUUAGCGCUUGACGUGAAAGUCCUCAAGAAAGCAGAGCAGCAACUCACUCAACCACACCGAAGUCAUUCUAAGAUGAUAUGAAGAGGUUACUGCCAGCGUCAUCCAUGUCAUUACGUAAGGUAAUUGUGUAGUUUAAACGAACUAUAAACGCCGACCUCACGAAAACACGUGUUUGAAGCCUGAAGUAUUUUUGUAAAAGCCCUUUCCGAGUAGGCGAUAUCAGAAACAUCAAAACUUCUACCCGUUAGAAAUUUUCAGGAAAUGCCAUUAGUGAUUUUUAUUUCACCAAGAAGUGGACCUCACAUAACUUUUUACUUAAUACUAUCGACACUCGCUGGUCAGGAAAAAAUUUUAAUGUGACAGCUACUUGGACAAGAAUUCUUUUAAAAAAAUAUUUCUUUGAGUAUAAUGUUAAGACACGUGCUGUAAAAUUCUUUGGUAUAAGAUUGCUUCCUUCCGGAGAGAGGGUAAAGGGCGUCUGUCACUAGUGCCAAUGAAAAGGCGCUAACAGAAGACUUGUGACAAAUUUUAUACGAAGAUUUUACGAGCACGUUUAUAUUGUGCGCAAAUUGCCGGAACUUUCUGUCUGUUUUUAAGCCGUUUGAGCGAUAACUUGUUCUCAAAAGCUGACAUUUUUCUUUUAUCGUUGUGCCGGUGCCGUUUAAGAUUCAGAAAAUAUUGAAAUUGAGAGCGAGCAAAAUCAGAGGUGACUUUUACCGUUUUGUUUCAAUUUGCGCUUUUUAUGCAAGUCCAUCUGAUGAAAUUAACUGGAGCAAGAGCAGUUGCAACGCUGAUAUCAGUUACAACAACAACAACAAUGGCGACAACAAUUACAACAACAGCCGCGACAUACUGCCUCAGCGAAAAAAGACUGUUUGUUCUGAUUAAUCGCCCAGUUAUGUUCUCAAAUUCUGAAAAAUCCUUAGAUGUUGGAUUCCUCAACUGUCAACCCUCUCCAGGCGUCGAAUAUCCAAAGAUAUCAAAUUUAGCUAUCUUCAAAUAGCCGUGUCUUGCGUGAUUGAUCAGUCCUACGUAAACGAUGAUGCCCCUUAAUCAGUUUCCAAACACUUUUUAGGAUGGUUUGCAGUGUUUUGGUUCGAAAAUGUAAGAGUGGGCGGAAAUCCGUUUCCCAACUGAGCUAAACAACUGAGCUAAACAGCUCUGCGUGAUUCAAGGUACUGAAAGAAGCCGACAAAAACAAUUAAGAAUAAUUUUAAAAGAUUACUGACUCGCAAUUUCCUUCUCUCACUAACGCGAGAGAUUGUGGUCACUAAAAUAAUACAAAGAAGUCUUAAGUCAGCGUUUACGUCAUAAAACUGCUUGUCGAAGACGUCAAA